GAUUUCUCGACUGUUAAACCUUUAAGAAUGUCCUAUCACAACCACAGAAAGCUACCCAAACAUCUGUAAAACAAGUAGGUCAUUUUAUACCUUAUUCAUGUUGCUUUUGGCUAAAGGCAAGUUUCACAGGGGAAAGAGCGCGUUGAGAUUGCAAACUGAUCUUCAUUCCUCCCAAACUUGCUACCAUAAACGUAAGCCAUGGUUAUGACCAUCUUUCUUGACUGCACUUUGUUGUUCAGUACCAAUAGCUCUCACUUCUCAGGGGAAAGGAUUUUAAAACAAAAACCAGGGUAACUGAUACUUUCUCUACAGUAAACCCAUGUGUUACUCUACUGUACAUACUGCUU
rnacentral:lncRNA from 1 species